GCCCGAGUGGUGAAAUGGUAGACGCAGUGGACUCAAAAUCCACCGAUAGAGAUAUCGUGACGGUUCGAGUCCGUCCUCGGGCACCA
rnacentral:tRNA from 1 species